GGAACGCAGUGUGCUUUUAGCAAUACCCUCGGGUAUUUCACACUUAGGAUGCUGGUGGAAUGGCUUUAAACGACCCGUCUUGAAACACGGACCAAGG
rnacentral:rRNA from 1 species